CGUCGUUACUAUCACCAUCACCACCACCAUCACCACCACCACCAUCAUCACCAUCACCACCACCAUCACCACCACCACCAUCAUCAUCACCACCACCAUCAUCACCAUCACCACCACCACCAUCACCACCACCACCACCAUCAUCACCACCACCAUCACCAUCACCACCACCACCAUCGUGAUCCAUUAUCAUCACCCUCACCAUCAUCACUGCCAUCAUCACCACCUCCACCACCACAACCAUCAUCACCACCAUUAUCAUCAU
rnacentral:lncRNA from 1 species